rnacentral:rRNA from 1 species
GACGAACGCUGGCGGCGUGCCUAAUACAUGCAAGUAGAACGCUGAAGAGAGGAGCUUGCUCUUCUUGGAUGAGUUGCGAACGGGUGAGUAACGCGUAGGUAACCUGCCUGGUAGCGGGGGAUAACUAUUGGAAACGAUAGCUAAUACCGCAUAAAAUGGAUUAUCGCAUGAUAAUCCAUUGAAAGGUGCAAAUGCAUCACUACCAGAUGGACCUGCGUUGUAUUAGCUAGUUGGUGGAGUAACGGCUCACCAAGGCGACGAUACAUAGCCGACCUGAGAGGGUGAUCGGCCACACUGGGACUGAGACACGGCCCAGACUCCUACGGGAGGCAGCAGUAGGGAAUCUUCGGCAAUGGACGGAAGUCUGACCGAGCAACGCCGCGUGAGUGAAGAAGGUUUUCGGAUCGUAAAGCUCUGUUGUAAGAGAAGAACGAGUGUGAGAGUGGAAAGUUCACACUGUGACGGUAUCUUACCAGAAAGGGACGGCUAACUACGUG